UCUCCAGACUCCUACGGGAGGCAGCAGUGGGGAAUAUUGCACAAUGGGGGAAACCCUGAUGCAGCGACGCCGCGUGAGCGAUGAAGUAUUUCGGUAUGUAAAGCUCUAUCAGCAGGGAAGAAGAUGACGGUACCUGACUAAGAAGCCCCGGCUAACUACGUGCCAGCAGCCGCGGUAAUACGUAGGGGGCAAGCGUUAUCCGGAUUUACUGGGUGUAAAGGGAGCGUAGACGGCAGUGCAAGUCUGAAGUGAAAGGCGGGGGCCCAACCCCCGAACUGCUUUGGAAACUGUGCUGCUGGAGUGCAGGAGAGGCAAGUGGAAUUCCUAGUGUAGCGGUGAAAUGCGUAGAUAUUAGGAGGAACACCAGUGGCGAAGGCGGCUUGCUGGACUGUAACUGACGGUGAGGAUCGAAAGCGUGGGGAGCAAACAGGAUUAGAUACCCGUGUAUAA
rnacentral:rRNA from 1 species